rnacentral:rRNA from 1 species
CCUACGGGUGGCAGCAGUGAGGAAUAUUGGUCAAUGGGAGAGAUACUGAACCAGCCAAGCCGCGUGAGGGAAGACGGCCCUAUGUGUUGUAAACCUCUUUUGUCAGAGAACAAAACCCGGGACGUGUCCCGGACUGCGUGUAUCCGAAGAAAAAGCAUCGGCUAACUCCGUGCCAGCAGCCGCGGUAAUACGGAGGAUGCGAGCGUUAUCCGGAUUUAUUGGGUUUAAAGGGUGCGCAGGCGGAAUGUCAAGUCAGCGGUAAAAGUUCGGGGCUCAACCCCGCCGUGCCGUUGAAACUGGCGUUCUUGAGUGAGCGAGAAGUAUGCGGAAUGCGUGGUGUAGCGGUGAAAUGCAUAGAUAUCACGCAGAACUCCGAUUGCGAAGGCAGCAUACCGGCGCUCAACUGACGCUCAUGCACGAAAGCGUGGGUAUCGAACAGGAUUAGAUACCCCUGUAGUC